rnacentral:rRNA from 1 species
UGUCCUACGGGAGGCAGCAGUCGAGAAUCAUUCACAAUGGGGGAAACCCUGAUGGUGCGACGCCGCGUGGGGGAAUGAAGGUCUUCGGAUUGUAAACCCCUGUCAUGUGGGAGCAAAUUAAAAAGAUAGUACCACAAGAGGAAGAGACGGCUAACUCUGUGCCAGCAGCCGCGGUAAUACAGAGGUCUCAAGCGUUGUUCGGAAUCACUGGGCGUAAAGCGUGCGUAGGCUGUUUCGUAAGUCGUGUGUGAAAGGAGAGGGCUCAACCCGGGGAGGGCACAUGAUAAUGCGAGAUUAGAGU